rnacentral:rRNA from 1 species
UACGUAGGGUGCGAGCGUUAAUCGGAAUUACUGGGCGUAAAGCGUGCGCAGGCGGUUUUGUAAGCCGGAUGUGAAAUCCCCGGGCUUAACCUGGGAAUGGCAUUCGGGACUGCAAGGCUGGAGUGCGGCAGAGGAGACUGGAAUUCCUGGUGUAGCAGUGAAAUGCGUAGAGAUGCGGAGGAACACCGAUGGCGAAGGCAGCCCCCUGGGCUAGCACUGACGCUCAGGCACGAAAGCGUGGGGAGCAAACAGG